GUGUGUCUGUAACAAAAAUUAAUCUGCCCCCACAAUUUUUUCACUUAUUCGCCAAAAGCUAGAUUUAGGACCACAUGAGCAGCUCUGCUUGUCACUGUGAUGUCCAAUAGGAAGCAGCCAUAAGCAACACACUGCCAGUACCACCAUUCAGAUUUCAGAGAGGCCCAUGAUGACGUCACGCAUCUCUCUUGGAGGGCCCCACCUU
rnacentral:lncRNA from 1 species